UAAAAUAAAACAUUUUCUUUUAAAAUCAAAGAAGGCUCUGUUCCAGCCUAAUUUUAUUUCCAAACUGAAUAGUGUCGAAUCCCAAUUUCCAGUUAUAUAAAUUAAAUAAUUCAAACUCAACUAUGAGCACCAGCACAAAGCAGCUUGGACUGUGGGUCUGUCAGCUAAUCCAGAGCCAAAGGCAGCCAACUACCUAUGAUCGACUCAUAACUGAAAUCGAAGAAGGCAGAAACGAGCCGUUGAGCACACAGGAGAGAAUUAAAGUAAAUGCCACAUUGCGCGCUGGCUUACGCCUUGGCUUUUUUCAACGCGUUGGUAAAAGGUUUUUUGUGCCAGCACUCAAUUAGACAAAAGUACGAUUAGAUGCAGCUCAAACUAAACCAAAAUUAAAGCAGUUAUGUAUGUACGAGUAUCAA